rnacentral:rRNA from 1 species
AUUGAACGCUGGCGGCAGGCCUAACACAUGCAAGUCGAGCGGAUGAGAGGAGCUUGCUUCUCGAUUCAGCGGCGGACGGGUGAGUAAUGCCUAGGAAUCUGCCUGGUAGUGGGGGACAACGUUUCGAAAGGAACGCUAAUACCGCAUACGUCCUACGGGAGAAAGCAGGGGACCUUCGGGCCUUGCGCUAUCAGAUGAGCCUAGGUCGGAUUAGGUAGUUGGUGAGGUAGUGGCUCACCAAGGCGACGAUCCGUAACUGGACUGAGAGGAUGAUCAGUCACACUGGAACGGAGACACGGUCCAGACUCCUACGGGAGGCAGCAGUGGGGAAUAUUGGACAAUGGGCGAAAGCCUGAUCCAGCCAUGCCGCGUGUGUGAAGAAGGUCUUCGGAUUGUAUAGCACUUUAAGUUGGGAGGAAGGGUUGUAGAUUAAUACUCUGCAAUUUUGACGUUACCGACAGAAUAAGCACCGGCUAACUCUGUGCCAGCCGCCGCAGUAACAC